GCCCUCCCCCUUCCACUCAACUGUCAUCGACUUUGUCUUUCCGUGCAUCGCUGCCCCUCUCUCGCUGAAAGAGGCGCCGGCAAGUCGAAGAUGGCCGUGGCCGGCCCUUCCUGGCCCACCCCCAUCGUGCCGCCGGUGGACGAGGGAGAGUGGGCACUCCUGCAUCCCAUGAAGACGUCUCUCGUAGCCCUCAUCCCCGGUGCGGCGCAGGGCGCCACCACCGUAGUGCUCGGUCACCCGCUUGACACCGCGAAGGUCCGCAUGCAGUCCGGUGGGCCUCACACGUGCCGAUCUACCGUUGGCACGAUGUGGUUGAUGGCCACGGCAGAGGGCCCAAGCAGCCUUUACCGCGGGGUAGCUCCUCCACUGCUGAUGGAAGGCAUCAAGCGCAGCGUGCAGUUCGCCCUGUGGGACUGGAUGCGUGCCUUCGCCAGGGACGCGUCGGCAAGCCGCAACGGCGCAGACGGAGCAGCUAGAGGUGGUGCGGGUGGCGCUUGGGAGGCUGUGCGAGACUGCGCGCAUUGUGGCUUGGUGGGGAUCGGCAGUAACAGUUUUGUAUGCGGUGCCGUGGCGGGUGGCGUGGGGACGCUGAUUGGGUGCCCCAUGCACGUUAUCAAGAUACAGACACAGUGCCAGACUGCCAUGGGCACGCGGAACGCCUGGACGUGCACGCGAAGCAUCUACGACCGGGAGGGCAUCUUCGGCUUUUACCGUGGCUUUCGGUGCAACGUGGCAAAGGACGUAUGUUUUGCCGGCAUGUACCUCGGCCUCUACGCGGUCCUGCGCGAGCAUCCCGUCUUUGAGCCGCCUUCCGCGAGCACCACUGCGGAGACGACGACGACGACGACUCGCCCUUCGCGCAAGACAAACAUGUGCGCCUUCCUCUCCGGUGCAGUCGCCUCCAUGGCUACCUGGGGGCUCCUAUUCCCGCUGGACACCAUCAAGACAUUGGUGCAGGCACGACAGGCACACGCUGUCCUUUCGGUGCUGCGCCAGCCCGCUCUCCUCUACAGGGGUUUGGCCGCCUCGCUCAUCAAGGCGGGCCCCGUUUCGGGGGUGGCAAUGGCCGUGUACGAGCAGACGUGGGCCUUCGUGAACAAGCGACCGACGUUGCGCUAGUCGGGGGGGGGGGGGGGCACCGAGCAAGAGCGAAGUCAAACGCCGCACACGUCUCUCCUUUUUUCAUCGUGCGUCCAUUCAGCAGCGACACGAGGGCGCGUGGUGCUCUCCGCCUUCGCCGCCAUUGUGAUGAGGGCCGCUCACAAUGGCGGCGUGGCAAGUGUUGGCGUGCGUCGAUGCUUUCUGGGGACGAGGGGGGGGAAGCAGUUGUGCCCUGGGGUCGUCCUUAUUCCUCCGUGCGUUGCGCAUGUGUCUGUAAUAGUGAUGGAUUUGUGGAGGUUCAUCUUCGCCCUUUUGCGGCUUCGCUGAUUUUGAUGCGUAUGCACUCAUGAUGAUUGUGCGUGUGUGUGUGUAUCUUCCUCUGUUUUCCGUCCUCUUGCGCAGACCCCUUUCCUGCGCAUCGCAUCCUUCGCUCACUCUCGACGCUCGCCCGCCCACCUCACUCCCUCCCCAAGGAACGCGCAAGUGCGCAUGCGCGCAUGCGCCCACGAUGUGUACUGUCACUGAAAAUGUGGCAUCGCCUCCCUUCUCUUCCUUCGCAGCUCUUCCGCAGCCGUCAACAACAGACGCGCCCCACUACCACCACCAUCACCGCGGCCGCAGAAAAGCGCCCGACUGCGCGCUGCGGUUAGUAGGAUGGCACUGGGCGACGCGCGCGGAAGCGCGAUGUAUGCACAACCUUAUUUCAUCCAAGGGAAGUGGGCGGCAACCGAAGGACGGGGCGGCGCAAGAGGGUGCGGAGAUGAAACACACAGCGCACAUAUAUACAAGCCAGCGGGAGUGGAUGGGUGAGUCGGUGUACGAACACGGAAACGCUGUGCCGGGCCAAACUUCUUCGGCGCACACAC
rnacentral:misc_RNA from 1 species